GCUGAAAGUGUGGGGUUUUGGGGGCCUGUGAAGAUCAGAAGCCUCAAGCAGCAACCAGAACAGCAGAGACUAAGACAACUGCAGCAGCAUCUUAAGAAGAUUCCGGAAAACAGUUACCCAAAAAAAACAGCAGCAGAAUUCUAAAGGUCACCAUGGCAACGACUUUCAUAGAAGCGCAAUCAGCAGCAACUGCCGCUACGCCUGCAGCAGCAGCAACCAUCGUCUCCAGGUGCUGACACCGUGAUCUCCAGAUACUGACAGAGCAGAAGGACCCCUGAGACGGGUCAGAGGGAAUUAAGAAGAUAGAGUGUAAGUCUGAUUUUACCAUCUCCUGUUCAAGGGUGUCUGGGUAUGUCUGUCAAAAGCUGGAUGCCUGUGCUUCGGAAUGAGAUCUCCCCUACCCAUCUUGCGACCAGCUGAUCACCGCUCAUGAUGAGCUGUUUUCUGACUGACUAUAUCAAAGAGCAAAUACGGAUACAGUUUUCCAAUUACGUUAGAAUGCUUUGCUUUAUACCUUGAGACUUUAAUACUACAGCAAAGAUCAGUUUCAAAAAGGAGAAUUAAUGAAAAGAUCCUGGGGACAGGCAUAGCCAGGAAAUCACCCCACUGGAACCGCAUUGUCAGAGAGCCUAGAGGCUGAGAGCUGUCAGAGGCCAGAGCUAGCAAAGAGGACCAGGAUCUCAGUGUGGAUGACCCUGCUCUCCCAUGGAUUUCAGAGGAUCAACCAGGUUUGGUGACAGGUCUGCAGCCUAUUCUGCAUGUGAGGGAGGAAACCCAUUCUUCCCAAUAGCGAAUGUGGGGGAUCUCCAGAAGAGAAUCCAUAUAGAAGUUUCUUCCUCCAGAGCUCCUUUUCCAGAUUCCCUGGGUAAGAGUGAUCCUGGCCAUAGCUAGAGCUCUAGGGAGAUCCAGAUCCUUUAGCUAGCUAGAUGAUCCAUGAAAAGUUACCGGCAUUUUCUCAGAUAACUGUUGGUCUCAGUAAAAUUCAGCUACAAUAUUCUAUGUGUAUUCCUACAAAUAAGUAAUAAAAAUUGUGUUUUUCCUACAUAUAAACAUGGAAUGAAUUAUUUUAAGAGUUAUAACAAGUUAUUGCAUUAAGCACACUGCAAAGAUGUUUUAAGCAACCAGCAGUGACAAGAAAAUAUGCAAUAUUAGGUUAUACACACAGCCAUUAUUUUAAGCAAAGCCACAGGCAACAAAAAAAACCCGAGGGAAACUAAACAUAAAGACAUACAGAUUCCUGACGGUUUAGAAAAUUAAAGAACUAUAAGAUUGUUUUUCAAAAUUACUUACCUUGAGAUGUCAUUUUAUUAAUAAACAUACACUGAAAAAGCAAAGGUAAUAUUGAAAGAGGAUGUUGACUGAACCCACAAUGGGAUUUAAAUUUACAAC